CAUGGGUCUGCGCGCGCAGCCCUCCCUCGAUAGACACCUGCCAAUCCCAGGAAUACCCUGAGGGCAAAGACAUCGACGCUGGGUCGGAGGUGGUGGUAAACACAGUGUCCUACCUGGUCUGUUCUCUCCUGCCUCUCGUCCCCGCCUGCUCUCGAGACAAGCUUUGAACUGCGCAUUUCGUUCCUUCGCAUGGACGUGUAGCACGAUGCUGCUGAGAGAGAAUGCUUUUGCUCUAAAGGCAAAGGUUCUCCUCAGCGCUGCCGUAUAAGACUAGUGUGGCUGUUAAUGUCGUGAGCGAUACGGUCAGUUUCGGUGAUAUUUAACCUUUCAAGCCUCUGGACAUACACUACAAAGGUCUUCGAGUGAAGGAAUAACUCCAUGUGGUAAUUCUUGCCUUCAUGUCAUAUUUCAAAGAAGAUAUUGGAAAACAAUUCAUCGUCUAAUAAAGUACAGAAGAAAAGUAUCAAUCGAGUAAGAAUCAACUAAGCAUGGACUCCUACGCCAAUACCCAUCAACCCGACGUGACUGAAAGGCCGUUGACAUCGGCCGCAGACGGAGGCCAGAUAUCUGCUCCAAUGUUCUUCUCUUCUGUUCCUGCUGAUGGCCAGCCAUCUAAUUCCCCCCAAACUUCAUUUUCUCAUCCUAUCAAUAUUCCGAGCCCAGCUUAUCCCUUUCCCGGUAUUCUGACUCCGCCUGACACACCAACAUCCCCUUUUGGAUGUGCAAUGAAGCAACUUUCACCGUCAAGACCAAAUACAAAUCAGGAAACUUCAUUUUGUGUAUCGGCAGCCUAUGAUUUAUCUACUCAAGCAAAUGAGAACAACCAAAACAAGCCUGCUGGAUUCGUGCGUGUUGGCAAUCCCAUGAUAAGAAUUAAGAACAAUCCUUCAAGACUGAGACCACGACUUCGACUGAACACGAAUCUUGAAAUACACAGAAGUGAACAAACUGACCAAGGACCAGAAUCGCGCGACAAAGCGGAACCCGGGUCGUGCGACGAUGUAGAGCCUGAUUUAUGCGACGCAGUGGAGCCUGAACCGUGUGCUGAAAUGAACGCAGCGAAAAAGCGGGAAAACAAAAGCACUGACGAAAUGGCAACUUGUGGGGAGAGAGAAUUGCCUGGAGAAAAGGACAGAGACAAGGAUCAUAGGGUAUUGUGCUUCAUUAUUGGGUCUGAUCUUCGCAAGAUAGCAGACCAGUUUCAGGCUACGUACGCCAGGGUCCGUUUUUUCAACCCAGUAUUGGUUUUUGAAGUUGUUACUAGUGAUAAUUUUUGAGAUGUAAUAAUUCUACUUUUCGUUCACUUUGUUGGGACUGUUACAAUAAGGUUGAAAUUUAAGUGCUAAAUUUGUGAAAGGUGAAACAAAAACAUGAGUGAAUAUUUACUAGUUAACAGUAAGUGAAAAGUAAUAAAAAAAAUCAGUACGAGUUUUAAAUUAACCAGCUCGCAGCAGGUGUUCACUGUCGAGGAGAGAGAGUGUAUCUAUUAGCCUCCAAGCAUCUAAUAAUUUGUUCACACGUAAAUCGAAUGUUGAGGAACGGCUCCCUGAACAAAAAUCUCUCGACCACAUUGAUGCCUGCUUGUCCGUCACUUGUGCUUCGCCUGGCCAUGUGAGAAGUUUCAGGUGUCCAUUAAUAAUCGGUCAGAUCUGCAGACGGUAUUGUCUUUCAAACAUGUGCCAUGCAUCUCUAUAAAUAAUGCUCUUUUGUUUCUAAGUAUACUGUUGAAAUGACUUAUCUGUGGUAUUGUCUAGUUAGAGAGGUGAUGGUUUUUAUACCUAGUGAACAUUUUUAAUUUGUAUUUAAGAUAAGAGUCUGAGAGAUACUCGGGUACUUGAAGAACGCAACCGAACAUUGCAAAGUAAUUGUCGUAGGUUACAAAUCUGCCAUGUUUGCCUGUUUUAGUCCCAAGUACGUUUAGAUAGUCGGUACUGAAGAAUGACGGUUUUAGUUCUUUUAGGGUCCAGUUGCUUAUUUCUCUAGUGGUGAUAGAGAGUGCUCCAGCAGUUAAGUUUUAAGAACUUGUAUUAGCAUUGUACUGAAGAGCCUUCUCGUUGAUUGAGUUAUUCAGAUGAAUUUAAAAAUGCCUUCAGUGAAAAGUCGCCAUUUAUUGACAUUGUAUUGUUAUUAAGAUACUUUUGACUUUACCCACUUUAAUUGAAAGUUGUUGUCAAUCAGUUUUCCCUGAUAUGAAAGAUUGAAAUGGUUUAUUUUUUUCCCCACUGAAGCCACUAAGUAAAGUAUGUCGUUAUCUUAAAACGUUAAUUGUAUAUCUAUAUGAUUUUCUUUAUAAUGAGUAUUCUGUUAAUAUUUCCAGGGUGCUUUUUGUUACAAUGGCAACGGAAGUAAGUUUAAUUUUCCUCUACGACAGGAGUCUUUAUCUCAAAAGUUUGGUUGCGUUUUACAUUCGAGCAUUUCUCGUUAGGAGACAUAAACGUAUAGUUUGGUUGUCAGGUUAAUGUUAACUUUGUUCCAGAAGAUCUGAGAACCCCGCGAGGAGGAAAUUCUUGUUCCUUGUUCCCGUGACAGAGAAAAGGAUUGCUGGAUCGGCACCCUCCUCACUUGACUUUUGUUCACUGUUAUGAUGUGGGUUGCCUCGGAUACAAUCCACUCGGGUUUUUCAGGUUUAAGAAGUCCAUGUGAGCUUUAUAUUUGUAAACGACGGAUCUCCACAUUAAAGUAUUUAAAGAACAGAUGAGAAAGGUAAAAAUGAAACUGGAAAUUCUGUUCUGUAUGUCUUUCAUGUAAUUUUAAGCUCUUAAGUAUGGUUAAAUUAGCUGUAAGGUCGUGCUUUUUCAGUAGUCCUAGUUUCCAUAAUUUUUUUAAUGAUUAUGGUUUGAUAGUUUUUAGUUAGCUUAUGAAAUUGGACUCUACUAAAUUCUUUUAAAUUUACAAGAUUUGCUGUGAAAAAUUAAAUUCUUCUGACCAAGUUAAUUUUCAUAAUAUUUACGCAUUUCAUGUAUUGUUAUUUUGUCAUUUACAUCCACUGUACUGUUGUUAUUCAAUAAAGCGAGUUACCAA